UACGUAGGGUGCAAGCGUUGUCCGGAAUUAUUGGGCGUAAAGAGCUCGUAGGCGGUCUGUCGCGUCGGCUGUGAAAACCCGGAGCUCAACUCCGGGCCUGCAGUCGAUACGGGCAAACUGGAGUGUUGCAGGGGAGACUGGAAUUCCUGGUGUAGCGGUGAAAUGCGCAGAUAUCAGGAGGAACACCGGUGGCGAAGGCGGGUCUCUGGGCAACAACGUGACGUGAGGAGCGAAAGCGUGGGGAGCGAACAGG
rnacentral:rRNA from 1 species